UACGGGGGAUCCAAGCGUUAUCCGGAAUUACUGGGCGUAAAGAGUUGCGUAGGUGGCAUGGUAAGCGAGCAGUGAAAGCACCCCGCUCAACGGGGUAAACAUUGCUUGAACUACCAAGCUAGAGGAUGAGAGAGGUAGAUGGAAUUCCUAGUGUAGGGGUAAUAUCCGUUGAUAUUAGGAGGAACACCGAUGGCGUAAGCAGUCUACUGGCUCAUUUCUGACACUCAGGCACGAAAGCAUGGGGAGCAAACAGG
rnacentral:rRNA from 1 species